rnacentral:rRNA from 1 species
CCUACGGGAGGCAGCAGUAGGGAAUAUUGCUCAAUGGGGGAAACCCUGAAGCAGCAACGCCGCGUGGAGGAUGAAGGUUUUCGGAUUGUAAACUCCUUUUGUUAGAGAAGAUAAUGACGGUAUCUAACGAAUAAGCACCGGCUAACUCCGUGCCAGCAGCCGCGGUAAUACGGAGGGUGCAAGCGUUAGUCGGAAUCACUGGGUGUAAAGAGCGCGUAGGCGGGAUAGCAAGUCAGAUGUGAAAUCCUAUGGCUUAACCAUAGAACUGCAUUUGAAACUGUUAUUCUAGAGUAUGGGAGAGGUAGGUGGAAUUCUGGGGGUAGGGGUAAAAUGCGUAGAGAUCAAGAGGAAUACUCAUUGCGAAGGCGACCUGCUAGAACAUAACUGACGCUGAUGCGCGAAAGCGUGGGGAGCAAACAGGAUUAGAUACCCGUGUAGUC